GAUGAACGCUGGCGGCGUGCCUAACACAUGCAAGUCGAGCGGCAGCGAGGGGUGCUUGCACCCUGUCGGCGAGCGGCGGACGGCUGAGUAACGCGUGGGAACGUGCCCCAAAGUGAGGAAUAACUGCCCGAAAGGGUAGCUAAUACCGCAUAUUAUCUUCGGAUCAAAGGAUUUAUCCGCUUUGGGAGCGGCUCGCGUCGGAUUAGGUAGUUGGUGAGGUAAUGGCUCACCAAGCCGACGAUCCGUAGCUGGUCUGAGAGGAUGACCAGCCAGACUGGAACUGAGACACGGUCCAGACUCCUACGGGAGGCAGCAGUGAGGAAUCUUCCACAAUGGGCGAAAGCCUGAUGGAGCAACGCCGCGUGCAGGACGAAGGCCUUCGGGUUGUAAGCUGCUUUUAUAAGUGAGGAAUAUGACGGUAACUUAUGAAUAAGGAUCGGCUAACUACGUG
rnacentral:rRNA from 1 species